rnacentral:rRNA from 1 species
GAUGAACGCUAGCGGCAGGCCUAACACAUGCAAGUCGAGGGAGGAGCUUUCGGGCUUCGACCGGCGUACGGGUGCGUAACGCGUAUACAAUCUGCCUUUCACAUAGGGAUAGCCCGAAGAAAUUUGGAUUAAUACCUAAUGGUAUAUAGAGGUGGCAUCACCUUUAUAUUAAAGCUGAGGCGGUGAAAGAUGAGUAUGCGUUCUAUUAGCUAGUUGGAGAGGUAACGGCUCCCCAAGGCGACGAUAGAUAGGGGUUCUGAGAGGGAUAUCCCCCACACUGGUACUGAGAUACGGACCAGACUCCUACGGGAGGCAGCAGUGAGGAAUAGUGAACAAUGGUCGGAAGACUGAUCCAGCCAUGCCGCGUGCAGGAAGACGGCCUUAUGGGUUGUAAACUGCUUUUGCAGGGGAAGAAUAAGGACUACGCGUAGUUUGAUGACGGUACUCUGCGAAUAAGCAUCGGCUAACUCCGUG